rnacentral:lncRNA from 1 species
CCGCUUCGGCUUCUUAUUUGUAGGCCAUUUUUCUCGGAGCAAAUUACAGCUGCUUGAACAUGAGAUUCAUCAAAAGGAGUUAUGAUGGCCUCUGGUUUUGGUGUGGAAUUGUUCGAGAAUCUGAGGUUCUGUAUGGAAGAAUCUAACACUGAAGGAUAAGCUGAACUGGUUCUGGUGAGAAUGAUUUCAUUACUGGAGUUAGAGUUCUGAAUGUGGGAGGAAAGGCAUUGCACAAAGCUUUCAGAAAUGGAGCUUGAAGCUAUGGACCAAGCUGAGUUGAGAAGGAUGAAAAGUAGGGGAAAUAGCUUUGCAUGAGAGGUCUCCAUAUUCAUUUCCUCAGCAUAAAAGAUGUGAAAUGCUCUGAGCUUUACUAACAUACAUAUAUGUGUGUAAGUCGUCUGUUGAUGUGAAACCGUAGGUUCCGCUUUCUAGCACUUUUUUAGUAUUAGUGGGGUAAGUCAUCUAUUGUUGUUUUGUCCAUUUCUAAAUUGAUAUGAACGAGUCUCCAACAAUAAUUCUGAAAACCUAAAAUUCAAGCAAUGCAGCUCCAAUUAAGCAGAUCGAUAUCUGAAAACCUAUAGUUCAAACAAUGCAGCUCUAAUUAAGCACAUCGAUUUCUGAAAACCUAAUUAGUUAAGCACGCCGAUAUUGCAUGUUUCUACAACCUUGAAAUGUUUUUUUUUUUUUCAUCAAAACUUUGUUGGAUAUAAAUUUCAUAUUGGAAAUAUAUAACUUUCCCUAUGGGGUUAUAAGAGUUUAUGUCACUUCAUCUACUGUCAAUUGGUUUUGAAUAUGAACCUCAUACUACUUCAUCACAAUAUUAGAGCAGAUUACGCACGUCUAUGUGUGAAUGCGUAACGGCCACACAGACUUCACGUCCACGUGUGCGGAGGCGUGUUAAGAUACAAAUCCUAUAUUAGAAAUAUGAGACCUUGUUUACGGGUUACUACUUUAUCAAACUUGUGGAACUAUGAUCGACACACGAUUUUUUUGGCAAAAAUAUCACACUCCACCCAUAAUCACGAUAAUUUCAUCAUAUAAGAACACUAGCUAGUGCAAUUUUAGAGGUGUGUCAUGUAAUUAGGGCCACCAGUUUGAGUGACACACAUUCGAAUAAUACUGAGUGGAUGGUUAAUCAUUGGAAACCACAGGUCCAACUGAGAUAUGUAAAUAAGGCAUGCACGCCAAGUUAGAAGAAAUCUAUCUGCAGGGUGGUGUCAUAUUAGCUCGAACACAUAUUUGGAGUAGAGACAACAACUAGUUUCUAGAUUUCUGGUAUAGUUUGGUACUAGUCUUUGUCCUACGCGUUGCUGCGAUUGAUUUUCGUGUUUAGUUAGUACUGGUGAUGAUUAAAAAUAGGAUCAUAUAUCUAGAAAUUACGCACACUAUUUGCUGCAGGUGGGUUUCAGAAUGUACGUAAAAACAUGAACCCUGUAAUGAAAUGGCGUCGCAUUGUUCAAUCUCAUAUUCACUAUGUAUUGCAUAUAUUACUGAAACCAACAAUUUUACUUUUAAAAAAAAUAUGGAAUCAAUAACAAAGCCCUUUCUUAUGUCAUUUUUCGGUGAAACAAUUAUACAUUUCUAUGGUUCAUGAUAUUGGUCCUUGGCUUGGAGUUGAUUGACCGUGCCAAUUGAUUUGGGGAUUCAACACACUUGUCUGGAAGAGCAUACACCCAAUAGUGUUCUUUGCACAAUUGCUCCCAAAUUUGUAAUCUCUGCGUUGCAUAACUUUCUGCUAGUCAAGCUAAUGAUAAACAACAACAACACUACAACAUGAAUGCUAAAAAUAAUAGAGAAGCAUUGCAUGAUUAUCGCAAGACCUAAAUAUUAGAAUUAUGACCACAUGACAUUGAAUAAUACCACACUAAGAGAGAAAAUGGUAAAAUGGUAUGAUCUGUAUAUAAUUACAUAUACAAUAUUAAGAGCAGAAUCAUAUAAGAAUGAAUAAAAAAAAAAUUAUGACCCAUUCUUCUUCAAGUAGACAUCCAUAUCUAUUUGUCUGCCACCAAACAAUGAAUUUUGUUUGUUUGUUUAUUACACCACAAAUAUUAAACAUGACAAAUUUUUCUAUCAUUUUGCUGUUAGUAAUGGUAUGUGAAGGAUUUAGAUUGUAUAUUUAUCUGCAAUAGCUUAAUGUUCUUUUUGCGAAAUUGUUCAAAAACGUUAACUUUAGUACAGAACUGAUAUGUAUGUAGAGAUCAUUACAACCAUGCAUGUUAACUAUUAAAUUGAAUCUCAUAACCUAUAUGCAUUAAAGAUUAAGCUAUGUGUUUGUAUAAAUUUAAAAGUUUCUAAACACAAUAUGCAAAUAAGACUCCAUGUUUAAGCUGAUGGUUUCAAUACCCACAAAUAGAAGAACUGAUUUCAAUACCCAAAAAAAGAAGAAGAAAGAAAUCAAUGUUCAUCAAUUUACAGAUGAAUAAGAACCUUUAUAGGGAGGCUAUAUAUUCUUCUUCUCAUAAUAAAAGCUGAUUUCCCCAGGCUAUGUUAUACUAAAUCCCAAAUCAGCUUAUCACCAAUUGCUUUGAACCAUGAAAUAUAAAGUCUUCCAACUCUGGACGAAGGCGUAAACUUAGAGAAGGAAUCGAUGACACGAUCAUUUCAAAACCACAAAAACAAAAUCAGACUGAGAGCAGAGAGCAUGCAGAAAAAGAAUCAGUAGAAACAAUGGACAAAACUCAAAAAAGAAAAGAACGCGCAACAUGGCCAUACUGUUUGAGCCCAGUGGGUAUUUUUGGUCCAAGACUCAGGGUACGUUUUGGAUAACAUUUGGGCCUUUACCUGUGGCCCUUUUUUUAAUGCGAAGCCCACGAAGGGUGGCGAAGUCUGGCAACACGCGAGUUGGAAUUGUGUAAGGAUUCUGAUACCUCGCGGGAUUCGAUGUCCUCGCGGGAUCCUUUGUUCUAGUUCGUGUAGGAUUCUACAGUGCAUGGCGAGGUAGAGUUGGAAAUGGACUGUAGUACCCGCGGGAUAGGAUCGCUUAGUGCUCGAGUUCGCGUACGACGCUACAGUGAUAUGAUGCGGGGCGGUGAGCGAGACCUAGGCGAAGUCUGUUUUGGACACGUGUUGCAUGGAUCGCGCGGCUCGCGAGCUGGUCGUUUCCUGGUGGAAUUCUAAUUGCUGAGUCCGAAUGGAUUUGUGAUUAGGUCUCUGCGAAUUGUUUGCGGAUCGCUAUAUAAGGGAGCUUGACACAACGAACAAGACACACAAUCAAUCAUACAAAACAACUGCAAAUCUUCGAGCAUCCUCGAAACCCUAAGUUCUAAAUGCACCUCGCCUUAGAUCUCAGAGCCCGUCUGGACUCGCCUCUCUUUCCCAAUUGUUGCUUUGCUCGCUUCGAACAGUGAGUAUCGAUUCACAGGUGACUAGAUAGUUUGCUCGUAAUUCCUCGCCCGCGAGGUGACACUGGAGCUCUACUUCGCCUGAUUAGAAGUCAAGAACGCGCACCAUUCUCGUUCCGCGUCCGCGCGGUGGCAUGCCCUGCAAACCCUAAUUUACUUUUGGUAGCACAAGUUACCUUUCUACCCCUGCUGAGGAUCGUGGCCAAAACACAUACAACAACAACAACCAAGAACAUCUGGCAAGUGGUGGCGGCAAUAUAAAGUAAAUAAAAAUAAAAUAGGGGCAAAACCGUAAAAACACACGGUCUCUAGGGCAGUAUAUAGUAAAUACUGCUCAAGUGCUCAGCUUUUGAACCCAAUUAUUUUAACAAUUCAUUUUUUUUUUAAUAUUUUUUUUUUAUGCUGUUCGUGUUCGUCGGAGGAUGAGGAUCCACUACUCACUUUCAAGUAAAUGAAAUAGCAUUCUACCUAGCUAGCUAGGUUUGUUGUCAUCUGUUGUUCGCUCUGAUGAUAAGUCUAUCUUUUAUGUUUAAAACAGUCGCAAGAUAAGUACUUUAAUGGAAGCCUUUUUAUAUAUGAUCUCAGGAAGAAGAUAGGUAUUGAUGAUUUCAUGCAUACAUACUCAUUCGAAGAGAAAACACUGCCUUAAGAACUAGUGGAUAUCUGGAUAUAUAGAGUAGAGAGGCACCCUUGUGAAUCUUCGCGAUCGUUAGACAAUAAAUAUGAUGAGGAUUUACAAAAAAAACAUCUUUAAAUAGCUCAUUUCCCUUUCAUAUAGUGGUAUAGUCUUUUCUUCAUAAAUAUGAAAUGAGGUGAUACAAACUUGACGUGAUUAUCUUAAAAAUCAAUUUAACUCUCAAAUAUUAUAUUUAGUUCUGUGUAAUACAUCAAAUAUAUCAUGAGAAAUUGUUAGGUAAUUUAUAAUUGGAGCAAAUUUAUUUAAAGUCACCAAGUUUUUGCAUAUAUAGGUUUGUUCUUUUUAAACAAAUUAAUUAGGAUCAAUGUCCACUAACCAUUUUUUUGAGACAUCAAAUGUUCUUUAGGGCUCCAAAAGAGCUAGAAUUAAAGCCCAACCUGUCUAUCUCGUUGACCCAAUCCCAUUUUGCUGACAUUGUUCAUCUUUGACAACGAACAUUUCGUUCUCUCUCUAGAGACUUCAUGGAAAUAUUAGGGAGGAGGUGUGGAUAGCAUCUUGUUUAUUAGUAAAAGUAAGAUAAAUGUCUAAUUAAGUAAGGAGGUUCAAGUGUCAAACUACCAAUUUUGACGAAAUGAAUGAAAACUUCAUAAAUUAAAUGAGAAAAUAAAAUUACUGAUAAAGAUUAAAGAGAUAUUAAAUGAGAAAUUUGCUGUAAACAUAUAUAACUACUUCGGAUCAUAUCAAUCAUAACAAGGCAACAAUGUAUCAAGAUGGUGCAAUCGUACUAAUCCAUACUUUAGUUCUUGAUUCAUAUUUCAUGCUAGUUUCAUUCUAAAAAUAACGUAUUUAUGAUUAUUUAGAAAUUUCUAGAUUAGUUAUCUUCAUUAUCUCAACAAAAUGAAUAAGUCACGGUGUAUGCUGCAUAUGACAUUAUAUAUGAGUUGAUCAUAAAAACAAUACAUGCAACACAUUAUUUCCUUGAUCAUGUUAAUGCAAAUACACAUGAUAAAGAUGCAUAUGUACAAUAUACAAUGAUAGGUUCCGUUACUUAGUUGGUUAAGAUGUUUAAUUAACAACUUUGAUGUCAUGAGUUUAAAACCCACUAACAUAUGUAUGGGGUAUGAGUUAUUAACAAAAAUUAAAAAAAGAAAAUCAAGGUUCCCGUCCAGCCCUCCUCAGCUCUCUUCACAUAAAAAUAAAUAGUAAAUACAUAUAGUUGGAACAAUAAAUUAAAGCAACGAGAUCUUUGCCCAAAUGACAAGUUGAUUCACUUUCAGGCCUUCAAAACUUGAGAAUGGCAACUCUAGGUUUCAUUAUUAUUAGAAUUAAAUUCAGUUUACCCCCUUGUGGUUUGGGGGUGACUUCAUGUUAGUCCCUACACUUUUAUUUUCAUCAGUUUACCCCUUGAACUCUUCAAUUUCUGUCUGCCGUGUCCAAAUUCUCAUAUUCCGUUUGAAUUGACUUUUAAUUAUCAACAGUUAAGGUCCGAUUUGGACAUAUAAGGUCUGAUUUGCCUAAAUUCUAGAUAAUGACCUCACAGUUAAGGUUAAAAUUAUCAGCAGUUAACGUCCGAUUUAGACAGAAUAUAGGACAUUUGGUCACGCUUAAGGAAAGUUCUAAAGUUUGAGGGGUAAACUGAUGAAAUUGAAAGUAUAAGGAUUAACAUGAAGUUACUCUCAAACCUCAUGGGGUAAACUGAAUUUAAUUCUUAUUAUUAAUUUUGAAUGAGAAAUUAAGUCCAAUACAUCUCUUUAUUGUUUGUUACUUUAUUUUGGAACCUAAGCCCAUUUGUUGGUUGACAUUCUACUUUCUAUCUGAUGAAAACACUGGGAUGCUUUGCUCAUUCCUAAAGAAGUUGCCAGGAUCAACCAAGGUCUUAACAUGAACAAGUUUCCUGAAGUUGUUCUUGAAGUACUUCAAACCCCAGAUGCUUGCUUGUGCAUAGCUUGUAUUGCCAUUAUUGUUCCUCCCCAAAUCAAGAUCCCUAUAAUUCAGAUAGGCAGCUCUAGGAGACUUUGAAACAUACGGUGCCAUGUAUGCAUACAACCUUCUCAUAAAUCCAACAUACUUCUCAGUAUCCUUUCCAUCAUCCCAAACAACCAUAUACUGGAUUUCAUAUAUGUUUCCUCGUCGAUGUGGGAAAGCAGUUUCUGAAUCGGCAAUCUCACUCAUUUUUCCUCCAUAUGGUGUCAAUAUCAUGAAGGAUGUGUUUGCUUCAACCAACCUCUGCCAUAAGCCUUCCAAGCCAGCUUCUGAGAUUGGCUCAGUCACAUAGUCUGAUUUUGCUUUGAAGAUAAUGCUGAAUUGCCGGCGCUUCAGCAAAAUCUCUAAGGAUUCGUGUAUCGAGUAGCCAGCAAAGUCUAAAACAGACUGAAUCCAACUCAUCUCGGUGCAAUGGCUUCUUCCUAAACUCAACUCUGGGAAGUUGUCCUGCAUCAAAUGGAAAAGUUUCUCAACCGGGCCAAGAAACAAGGAACCGAAUUCAACUAUAAUAGUCUUGUCACCACUUCUUAUAACUAGACGUAUGAAAAGUUCUUCAGGAAGCUUGUCUGCAAUGUUUUGCCAUUUCAAAAGAAGUUUGGUUGCGUCUUGUUCUUUUGUCUUUGUAAUGUGGCAAACUGUUACAGCAGGGGGAACAGGAACCAGUCUAAGUUUCCAUGCUAGAAUGACUCCAAAGCUUGAUCCACCUCCUCCUCUGAUAGCCCAAAAGAGCUCUUCUCCCAUGGACUUUCUAUCUAGAAUUCUGCCAUUAACAUCUACAAUUCUGGCAUCAAUGACAUUGUCAGAUGCUAGACCAUAUUUUCGGAAUAUGGUUCCAAUUCCACCUCCACUGAUAUCGUCCCCCAACACCAACGGUGGGACAAAUCCCUGCUGGAAAGCCAUAGACUUUACUCUUCUGUGCAAUGCUGUAAUACACCUCUCCAAGAGUAGCACCUGAUUUGACCCAAGCACUCUCAUUCUCUAUGUCAACAUCGAUGGAACGAAGAUUGAACAGAUCAAUGAUGAUGAAAGGAGCUCUGGACACAUAAGAUAGGCCCUCGUAAUCGUGCCCCCCGCUUCGUGUUCUUAUUUGUAAUCCAUUUUUCUUGGAGCAAAUUACAGCUGCUUGAACAUGAGAUUCAUCAAAAGGAGUUAUGAUGGCCUCUGGUUUUGGUGUGGAAUUGUUCGAGAAUCUGAGGUUCUGUAUGGAAGAAUCUAACACUGAAGGAUAAGCUGAACUGGUUCUGGUGAGAAUGAUUUCAUUACUGGAGUUAGAGUUCUGAAUGUGGGAGGAAAGGCAUUGAACAAAGCUUUCAGAAAUGGAGCUUGAAGCUAUGGACCAAGCUGAGUUGAGAAGGAUGAAAAGUAGGGGAAAUAGCUUUGCAUGAGAGGUCUCCAUAUUCAUUUCCU